UGGGGGAUAUUGCACAAUGGGCGAAAGCCUGAUGCAGCGACGCCGCGUGGGGGAUGAAGGCCUUCGGGUUGUAAACUUCUUUUGCUCUGAACAAGGCGCACCAUGGGGUGUGUUGAGUGUAGGGGUUGAUUAGCGCCGGCUAACUACGUGCCAGCAGCCGCGGUAAUACGUAGGGCGCGAGCGUUGUCCGGAAUUAUUGGGCGUAAAGGGCUUGUAGGUGGCUGGUUGCGUCUGCCGUGAAAGCUCAUGGCUUAACUGUGGGUUUGCGGUGGGUACGGGCUGGCUUGAGUGCAGUAGGGGAGGCUGGAAUUCCUGGUGUAGCGGUGGAAUGCGCAGAUAUCAGGAGGAAUACCGGUGGCGAAGGCGGGUCUCUGGGCUGUUACUGACACUGAGGAGCGAAAGCAUGGGGAGCGAACAGG
rnacentral:rRNA from 1 species